GACGAACGCUGGCGGCGUGCUUAACACAUGCAAGUCGAACGGAAAGGCCCUGCUUUUGUGGGGUGCUCGAGUGGCGAACGGGUGAGUAACACGUGAGUAACCUGCCCUUGACUUUGGGAUAACUUCAGGAAACUGGGGCUAAUACCGGAUAGGAGCUCCUGCUGCAUGGUGGGGGUUGGAAAGUUUCGGCAGUUGGGGAUGGACUCGCGGCUUAUCAGCUUGUUGGUGGGGUAGUGGCUUACCAAGGCUUUGACGGUAGCCGGCCUGAGAGGGUGACCGGCCACAUUGGGACUGAGAUACGGCCCAGACUCCUACGGGAGGCAGCAGUGGGGAAUAUUGCACAAUGGGCGGAAGCCUGAUGCAGCAACGCCGCGUGCGGGAUGACGGCCUUCGGGUUGUAAACCGCUUUCGCCUGUGACGAAGCGUGAGUGACGGUAAUGGGUAAAGAAGCACCGGCUAACUACGUG
rnacentral:rRNA from 1 species